GACAUCCAGCGAACUUUCCAGAGAUGGAUUGGUGCCUUCGGGAACGCUGAGACAGGUGCUGCAUGGCUGUCGUCAGCUCGUGUUGUGAAAUGUUGGGUUAAGUCCCGCAACGAGCGCAACCCUUAUCCUUUGUUGCCAGCGAUUCGGUCGGGAACUCAAAAGGAGACUGCCGGUGAUAAACCGGAGGAAGGUGGGGAUGACGUCAAGUCAUCAUGGCCCUUACGAGUAGGGCUACACACGUGCUACAAUGGCGCAUACAAAGAGAAGCGACCUCGCGAGAGCAAGCGGACCUCAUAAAGUGCGUCGUAGUCCGGAUCGGAGUCUGCAACUCGACUCCGUGAAGUCGGAAUCGCUAGUAAUCGUGGAUCAGAAUGCCACGGUGAAUACGUUCCCGGGCCUUGUACACACCGCCCGUCACACCAUGGGAGUGGGUUGCAAAAGAAGUAGGUAGCUUAACCUUCGGGAGGGCGCUUACCACUUUGUGAUUCAUGACUGGGGUGAAGUCGUAACAAGGUAGGCGUAGCGAG
rnacentral:rRNA from 1 species